CCCAGCCCACGGAGCGUAAGGAGUUUCUUAGGUACAUGUCAAUGAGACUUGCUCAAGAUCGUCCACACCUCCCAGAUCCGUGCUACAAGACCUGCUUCGACUGACAUACAAAGCCCUGUACAUUAAUCAUGGAGGGUCUAGAAGGUGGAGGAAAGCAAGGAGGCAUGCCCAGCUGUGGCACUUAAGCGGCUUGACUGUGCCUCCUUGACACUUUGCUGAGAAAUAUAAAGGUUUUGUAGCUGAAGAGAUUGCUGACAAUAAAGUAGAGGAAAAUAACUCCCCUUUGGUGCAAAGAUAAAAUUGUUACAACCAUAUUAGCCCAGUUAAUAAAAAGGAUUUUAGUGAAAUUUUCAUCUGCUGCAGUGAAUCCAGAUAUUGAUGUUUCCCUCAACAAUCCACACUUGGAUAUAAUCAGUUAUUUUUUCUUCCCAAGAUUUAUUGUAUAU